rnacentral:rRNA from 1 species
CGGACGGGUGAGUAACGCGUGGGUAACCUGCCUUACACAGGGGGAUAACACUUAGAAAUAGGUGCUAAUACCGCAUGAGCGCACAGGACCGCAUGGUCGAGUGUGAAAAACUGAGGUGGUGUAAGAUGGGCCCGCGUCUGAUUAGCUAGUUGGUGAGGUAACGGCCCACCAAGGCGACGAUCAGUAGCCGGCCUGAGAGGGUGGACGGCCACAUUGGGACUGAGACACGGCCCAAACUCCUACGGAAGGCAGCAG